rnacentral:rRNA from 1 species
UACGAAGGGGGCUAGCGUUGCUCGGAAUCACUGGGCGUAAAGGGCGCGUAGGCGGCGUUUUAAGUCGGAGGUGAAAGCCUGUGGCUCAACCACAGAAUGGCCUUCGAUACUGGGACGCUUGAGUAUGGUAGAGGUUGGUGGAACUGCGAGUGUAGAGGUGAAAUUCGUAGAUAUUCGCAAGAACACCGGUGGCGAAGGCGGCCAACUGGACCAUUACUGACGCUGAGGCGCGAAAGCGUGGGGAGCAAACAGG